rnacentral:rRNA from 1 species
GACGAACGCUGGCGGCGUGCUUAACACAUGCAAGUCGAACGGAAAGGCCUGUCCUUCCUUGUGUUGGACGGGUGCUCGAGUGGCGAACGGGUGAGUAACACGUGAGUGAUCUGCCCCCAACUUGGGUAUAAGCCUGGGAAACUGGGUCUAAUUCCCGAUAGGACUGCAGGGUGGUGCCUGUGGUGGAAAACGAUUUUCUAGUGGUUGGGGAUGAGCUCGCGGCCUAUCAGCUUGUUGGUGGGGUAAUGGCCUACCAAGGCGGCGACGGGUAGCCGGCCUGGGAGGGUGGACGGCCACAUUGGGACUGAGAUACGGCCCAGACUCCUACGGGAGGCAGCAGUGGGGAAUAUUGCACAAUGGGCGGAAGCCUGAUGCAGCGACGCCGCGUGGGGGAUGACGGCCUUCGGGUUGUAAACUCCUUUCGACCGCGAGGAAGCCGCCUGGUUGGAAGGGUGGUGACGGUAGUGGUAGAAGAAGCACCGGCUAACUACGUG